UUUCCGUAGGUGAACCUCCGGAAGGAUCAUUAUUGUAUAACCGAGGUGCGAGGGCUGUCGCUGACCCGAAAGGUCGUGCACGCCCGAGUGCCCUCACACACAUCCAUCUCACCCCUAUGUGCACCACCGCGUGGGUCCCCCUUUGGCUUGUUCGGAGGGGGGCUUACGUUUUCACACAAACUUUGUAUGCAGUGUAGAAUGUAUUUUUUGUUUUUGCGAUCACGCAAUCAAUACAACUUUCAACAACGGAUCUCUUGGCUCUC
rnacentral:misc_RNA from 1 species